rnacentral:rRNA from 1 species
AUUGAACGCUGGCGGCGUGCUUAACACAUGCAAGUCGGGCGGUAACAGGCGUAGCAAUACGUGCUGACGAGCGGCGAACGGGUGAGUAAUGCUUCGGAAUCUUCCUCGUAGUGGGGAAUAACCUGGGGAAACUCAGGCUAAUACCGCAUACGAACUACGGUUGAAAGCUGGGGAUCGCAAGACCUAGCGCUUGAAGAGGGGCCCGCGUCCGAUUAGCUAGUUGGUGGGGUAACGGCUCACCGAGGCGACGAUCGGUAUCCGGCCUGAGAGGGCGGACGGACACACUGGGACUGAGACACGGCCCAGACUCCUACGGGAGGCAGCAGUGGGGAAUUGUUCGCAAUGGGCGCAAGCCUGACGACGCAACGCCGCGUGGAGGAUGAAGAUCUUCGGGUCGUAAACUCCUUUCGAUCGAGACGAAUGGCCCUUGGGCUAAUCACCAGGGGAAUGACGGUACCGAGAGAAGAAGCCCCGGCUAACUCCGUGCCAGCCGCCGCCGUAACAC